AACGAACGCUGGCGGCAGGCCUAACACAUGCAAGUCGAACGCCCUAGCAAUAGGGAGUGGCAGACGGGUGAGUAACACGUGGGAACCUUCCCUAUAGUACGGAAUAGCCCAGGGAAACUUGGAGUAAUACCGUAUAAGCCCGAGAGGGGAAAGAUUUAUCGCUAUAGGAUGGGCCCGCGUCGGAUUAGCUAGUUGGUGAGGUAAUGGCUCACCAAGGCGACGAUCCGUAGCUGGUUUGAGAGAACGACCAGCCACACUGGGACUGAGACACGGCCCAGACUCCUACGGGAGGCAGCAGUGGGGAAUAUUGGACAAUGGGCGAAAGCCUGAUCCAGCCAUACCGCGUGAGUGAUGAAGGCCUUAGGGUUGUAAAGCUCUUUUGUCGGGGACGAUAAUGACGGUACCCGAAGAAUAAGCUCCGGCUAACUUCGUG
rnacentral:rRNA from 1 species